rnacentral:rRNA from 1 species
UGUUUUCAUUAAUCAAGAACGAAAGUUAGAGGUUCGAAGGCGAUUAGAUACCGCCCUAGUUCUAACCAUAAACGAUGCCAGCUAGCGAUCUGCCGACGUUUUUUUUGUAGACUCGGCAGGAAGCUUCCGGGAAACCAAAGCAUUUGGGUUCCAGGGGAAGUAUGGUUGCAAAGCUGAAACUUAAAGGAAUUGACGGAAGGGCACCACCAGGAGUGGAGCCUGUGGCUUAAUUUGACUCAACACGGGAAAUCUCACCAGGCCCGGACACUGGAAGGAUUGACAGAUUGAUAGCUCUUUCUUGAUUCGGUGGGUGGUGGUGCAUGGCCGUUCUUAGUUGGUGGAGUGAUUUGUCUGGUUAAUUCCGAUAACGAACGAGACUCUGUCCUGCUAAAUAGUGUCCGCCUCUCUUUUGGGCGGACAAUUCUUCUUAGAGGGACUGGCGACUCUCAGUCGCACGAGAUUGAGCAAUAACAGGUCUGUGAUGCCCUUAGAUGUUCUGGGCCGCACACGCGCUACACUGAAUAGAUCAACGUGUUCCCCCUAUCCGAGAGGAUCGGGUAAACCGCUGAACCCUAUUCGUGGUAGGGAUCGGGGCUUGCAAUUGUUCCCCGUAAACCAGGAAUUCCCAGUAGGCGCAAGUCAUAAGCUUGUGUCGAUUACGUCCCUGCCCUUUGUACACACCGCCCGUCGCUACUACCGAUUGAACGUUUUAGUGAGGUCCUCGGACUGACAGGUUGGCGGAUUACUCUGCCUGCCUGGCGGGAAGACGACCA